rnacentral:rRNA from 2 species
UGACCUCGGAUCAGGUAGGGAUACCCGCUGAACUUAAGCAUAUCAAUAAGCGGAGGAAAAGAAACCAACAGGGAUUGCCCCAGUAACGGCGAGUGAAGCGGCAAGAGCUCAAAUUUGAAAGCUGGCCCCCUCGGGGUCCGCAUUGUAAUUUGCAGAGGAUGCUUCGGCAGCGGUCCCCGUCUAAGUACCCUGGAACGGGUCGUCAUAGAGGGUGAGAAUCCCGUAUGGGACGGGGUGCCCGCUACCGUGUGAAGCUCCUUCGACGAGUCGAGUUGUUUGGGAAUGCAGCUCUAAAUGGGUGGUAAAUUUCAUCUAAAGCUAAAUAUUGGCCGGAGACCGAUAGCGCACAAGUAGAGUGAUCGAAAGAUGAAAAGCACUUUGAAAAGAGAGUUAAAAAGCACGUGAAAUUGUUGAAAGGGAAGCGCUUGCGACCAGACUCGCCCACGGGGUUCAGCCGGCAUUCGUGCCGGUGUACUUCCCCGCGGGCGGGCCAGCGUCGGUUUGGGCGGCCGGUCAAAGGCCCUCGGAAUGUAACGCCCCCCGGGGCGUCUUAUAGCCGAGGGUGCCAUGCGGCCUGCCCGGACCGAGGAACGCGCUUCGGCUCG